CCUACGGGGGGCUGCAGUAGGGAAUCUUCCACAAUGGACGAAAGCCUGAUGGAGCAACGCCGCGUGAGUGAAGAAGGGUUUCGGCUCGUAAAGCUCUGUUGGUAGUGAAGAAAGUUAGAGGUAGUAACGGGCCUUUAUUUGACGGUAAUUACUUAGAAAGUCCCGGCUAACUACGUGCCAGCAGCCGCGGUAAUACGUAGGUGGCAAGCGUUGGCCGGAUUUUUUGGGCGUAAAGCGAGUGCAGGCGGUUCAAUAAGUCUGAUGUGAAAUCCUUCGGCUCAACCGGAGAAUUGCAUCAGAAACUGUUGAACUUGAGUGCAGAAGAGGGGGGUGGAACUCCAUGUGUAGCGGUGGAAUGCGUAGAUAUAUGGAAGAACACCAGUGGCGAAGGCGGCUCUCUGGUCUGCAACUGACGCUGAGGCUCGAAAGCAUGGGUAGCGAACAGGAUUAGAUACCCUUGUAGUC
rnacentral:rRNA from 1 species